rnacentral:rRNA from 1 species
CCUACGGGAGGCAGCAGUGGGGAAUAUUGGACAAUGGGCGAAAGCCUGAUCCAGCCAUGCCGCGUGUGUGAAGAAGGCCUUCGGGUUGUAAAGCACUUUCAGUGGGGAAGAAAGCCUUGGGGCUAAUACCCUCGAGGAAGGACAUCACCCACAGAAGAAGCACCGGCUAACUCCGUGCCAGCAGCCGCGGUAAUACGGAGGGUGCGAGCGUUAAUCGGAAUUACUGGGCAUAAAGCGCGCGUAGGCGGUCUGAUAAGCCGGUUGUGAAAGCCCCGGGCUCAACCUGGGAACGGCAUCCGGAACUGUCAGGCUAGAGUGCAGGAGAGGAAGGUAGAAUUCCCGGUGUAGCGGUGAAAUGCGUAGAGAUCGGGAGGAAUACCAGUGGCGAAGGCGGCCUUCUGGACUGACACUGACGCUGAGGUGCGAAAGCGUGGGUAGCAAACAGGAUUAGAUACCGAGUAGUC